GGGGGGCUGACCCCCCCACCUCCCUCCCAGACGAGGAGGGAGGACGCUCCUCACUUCUCAGACGGGGUGGCUGCCGGGCGGAGGGGCUCCUCACUUCUCAGACAGGGCGGUUGCCAGGCAGAGGGUCUCCUCACUUCUCAGACAGGGCGGCCGGGCAGAGACACUCCUCACAUCCCGGACGGGGCGGCAGGGCAGAGGUGCUCCCCACAUCUCAGACGAUGGGCGGCCGGGCAGAGACGCUCCUCACUUCCCAGAUGUGAUGGCGGCCGGGAAGAGGCGCUCCUCACUUCCUAGAUGGGAUGGCGGCCGGGCAGAGACGCUCCUCACUUUCCAGACUGGGCGGCCAGGCAGAGGGGCUCCUCACAUCCCAGACGAUGGGCAGUCAGGCGGAGACGCUCCUCACUUCCCAGACGGGGUGGCUGCCAGGCAGAGGCUGCAAUCUCGGCACUUAGGGAGGCCAAGGCAGGCGGCUGGGAGGUGGUUGUAGCGAGCCGAGAUCACGCCACUGCACUCCAGCCUGGGCGCCAUUGAGCACUGAGUUAACGAGACUCCGUCUGCAAUCCCGGCACCUCGGGAGGCCGAGGCUGGCGGAUCACUCGCGGUUAGGAGCUGGAGACCAGCCCAGCCGACACAUCGAAACCCCGUCCCCACCAAAAAAAUACGAAAACCAGUCAGGCGUGGCGGCGCACGCCUGCAAUCGCAGGCACUCGGCAGGCUGAGCCUGACCAACCACCAUCUCUCACUUGGACUAUUGCAGCUGUCUUCUACCCAGACUCCCUGCUCCACCUUUGCUUCCUCUGACACAGUUUCCAUAGAAAAACCAAAGUGAUCUUUUGAAGAGGAUGCAGUACUUUGGUGUAUUCAACAUCUUUUCCAACCUCCUCCCAGUGUGCCUUUCUCUCCUGCAGAAGCUGGAAAGUGACUCCCCCUCAUCAUCCAGAUCACAGCCUAAUGUCACUUCCCCAGAGAAGCCUCAUUCUACGAUUGCCAAAACCAAGCCCCACAGACUGGGUGGCACCAACAACAGGUAUGAGUUUUCUCCCAGUUCCAGAGGCUGAAAGUCCAAGGUCAAGGUGUCAGCAGUGGUGGUUCCUUCUGAGGCUCUGAGGAUCUAUUCCCAGCUACUCUCCUGGGCUUUUAGAAGGCCAACUUCACGUCCACACGGCUUUCUUUCUGUGUGUGCAUCUGUGUGUGUCCAAAUUUCCCCCUUUUAUAAGGACACCAGUCUUAUUGGAUUAGGGCCUCAUUUAACUGAGUCAAUCUGCCAUGACCCUACUUACAAUUCCAAUUCCACUGUCAGGUGCUGGGGGUUAGGACUUCACCCUAUGAGUUUGGGAGGAUGCACACAGUUUAUCCUCUAACAGCCAGGUUCUCAAGGUCUAACUUCUCCUCAAACUCUGCUUCUUCGUCAAAGCUGUCAAUUCGGUGUGUGACGGUGCAGCUGCUGGUUGGUUAACAUUUGUCCUCAGCUAGGAGACUGUGUUGGAUGAUCCCCCAGUGCUUAGCACAGGGCCUCGGGCAGAGCGAGUGCUGAAGAGGUAUUCAUUGGAUUUGUGGAUGAAUGAGUUGAGGAAUAAAUGAUUAUUUCUAAUAGCUGAUGAAAGACCUAAAAGGCCAAUGAUAAGCAAGUGGCCAAAUCACCCAAGACACAGUUGUUUAUUACACAGCUGUUAAAAUGUCUCUGAAGACUUUGUGACAAUGUGGGAAAAUGCUUAUGAUCUGACAUUGAAUGACAUGGUAGAAUACAACCGUUUAUGGAAUAUUACACGAAAAAAGAACAGAAAAAUGAGAGUCCAGUGUUGAACUCACAAAAACAAAAAAUCAUGUAUAAAUUGUGAUCAGAUUUUCCACAUUAAAUGUAUUAGUUCUUCUCAUUCAUUAAAUAAAUAACUUCAUGUCAAAGCUAAAGAAAAAUUAGCAUCCUUAAACAUUGGGAUCCUAUGAACUAUCCUUUAUUCAUUUUGGAGUAAAAGAUGGGAUGGCAGGAAAUACACAGGGCCUCAUUUCUGCUUCUUUGGGCAAAUCUUAUUUUUAGUAACUCACUUUGCCAUUAAUAAAACCACGUCUGAUCAUAUAC